rnacentral:rRNA from 1 species
AUUGAACGCUGGCGGCAUGCCUUACACAUGCAAGUCGAACGGCAGCACGGGUGCUUGCACCUGGUGGCGAGUGGCGAACGGGUGAGUAAUACAUCGGAACGUACCUUAUCGUGGGGGAUAACGCAGCGAAAGCUGUGCUAAUACCGCAUACGCCCUGAGGGGGAAAGCGGGGGAUCGCAAGACCUCGCGCGAUUAGAGCGGCCGAUGCCUGAUUAGCUUGUUGGUGGGGUAGAAGCCCACCAAGGCGAAGAUCAGUAGCUGGUCAGAGAGGACGAUCAGACACACUGGGACUGAGACACGGCCCAGACUCCUACGGGAGGCAGCAGUGGGGAAUUUUGGACAAUGGGGGCAACCCUGAUCCAGCCAUUCCGCGUGUGCGAUGAAGGCCUUCGGGUUGUAAAGCACUUUUGGCAGGAAAGAAAUCGCACGGAUUAAUACUCUGUGUGGAUGACGGUACCUGCAGAAUAAGCACCGGCUAACUACGUGCCAGCAGCCGCGGUAA